AAGGCAGUUUGGCGCCAGCAGCCAAGUUGUAGAAUUGCUUUGGAGGCUGCCGGGGUGCACAAGAGAAUUGACAAGAACAGACACCGUUGCAGACCAAAGGCAUGCCUGAUUGCACUUGAGUCAGAUCGCUGGGACGCAGCCUCUGCUCUAACUAUUUGUGGCCGAAUAAAGGAAAGGAGACUAGAAACAGGACUGCCAGUGGUAUUCCUAAAAGGAAAACAAGGACACUCCAGAAGGAGGGGGAAAACAGCCCAGCUGUUACGCCAGCACUUAGACUUGCCACAGAUCAAGUUACCAAUUGCUUCUGUUGUGUUCACUUAUUCCCAGAUGCUCUUUGAGAUACUGCAUGAAGUUAUGUGGAAAUGAGGAAGCUUCACAAAACCCCUCCUCUUAGAGAGAAUGUCCUUCAUAAAUGGAGCUUUGCUUCAGGUUUUCACCGGACACUAACAUUGUGGCAGAGCCACAGCGGCCCUUCCUGCUAUUUUCAGUGACUCACAGAACACCUGAAUAGUGAUGCUGGCGUUGGAUUUGCAGGUUUCCAUCCUGAUACCUUGUUUACUUCUUUGGGGCAGAACAGCUUGCAGUAAUUGCUCUCCAUGGUGGCUAAUCUUUUCAAGAGCCUGAUUUUACCUUACAUACACAAGCUUUGCAAAGGAAUGUUUACAAAGAAAUUGGGAAAUACAACCAAAAAAAAAGAGAAUCGCCAGCUAAAAAAGGAUCAAGACAUUCCUACCGCCAACCAGACGAAACCCCCCAAAUUUUCGAAUACCUUGAAAAGCACUGUAAAGAAGAUUGCCAAGUGUUCCUCUGCCCGCAACUUAUCCACUGAGGAAGACGAGGCUAACAGAGAAUUCUCCCUCUCCCCCACGUUCAGUUACCGAGUCGCUAUUGCCAAUGGCCUCCAGAAGCGCGUCCAGGUAACCAAUGGUGAUAAUGAGGAUCUUCUUCAAGAGUUAUCUUCCAUCGAGAGCUCCUACUCAGAAUCACUCAGUGAACUAAGGAGCAGUACAGAGAACCAGGCACAGACAACACACACGAUGCCAGUGAGACGCAACAGGAAGAGUUCGAGCAGCCUGGCUCCCUCUGAGGGGAGCUCUGAUGGGGAACGCACUCUGCAUAGCUUGAAACUAGGAGCUUUACGCAAACUGAGGAAAUGGAAAAAGAGUCAAGAGUGUGUCUCCUCAGAUUCAGAGUUGAGCACAAUGAAGAAAACUUGGGGAAUAAGAAGCAAAUCUUUGGACAGAACUGCCCGAACCCCAAAGACAAACACCCUGGAACCUGGAUUCAGUUCCUCUGGCUGCAUUAGCCAAACACAGGAUGUCAUGGAAAUGAUCUUUAAGGAACUUCAAGGAAUAAGUCAGAUCGAAACAGAGCUUUCUGAACUCCGAGGGCAUGUCAAUGCUCUCAAGCAUUCCAUCGAUGAGAUCUCCAGCAGUGUGGAGGUUGUGCAAAGUGAAAUUGAGCAGCUCCGGACGGGAUUCGUCCAGUCUCGGAGGGAAACCAGAGACAUCCAUGAUUAUAUUAAACACUUAGGUCAUAUGGGUAGCAAGGCAAGCCUGAGGUUUUUAAAUGUGCCUGAAGAAAGAUUUGAAUAUAUUGAAAGUGUGGUGUACCAAAUUCUGGUAGAUAAAAUGGGGUUUUCAGAUGUCCCAAAUGCUAUUAAAAUUGAAUUUGCUCAGAGAAUAGGACACCAAAGGGACUGUCCCAAUGCAAAGCCACGGCCCAUCUUGGUGUACUUUGAAACCCCUCAGCAAAGGGAUUCCGUUUUAAAAAAAUCAUAUAAACUCAAAGGAACAGGCAUUGGGAUCUCCACAGAUAUUCUCACUCAUGACAUCAAAGAAAGAAAAGAGAGAGGAAUACCAUCCUCCCAGACAUAUGAGAGUAUGGAUAUAAAGCUGUCAACUCCAGAGCCCAGAAUCAAGAAGGAUAAUUGGCAGUCACCUGAUGACAGUGAUGGAGAGCUGGGAUCUGACCUCAAUAGAAACAGUUAUGCUGUGCUUUCCAAAUCGGAGUUUCCAACAAAAGGAAGUGCUUCCAAGUCAAGUUCAAAAUCGCACAAUGCUAGAGCCAAGAAUAAAACUGCUAGUAGCAGCAGAAUUCCAAAUAAAUCAGAAUAUGAUAAAAUUUCCUCACAUCUGCCAGAAUCAGAUAACUUGGCAAAACAGGGCACAACCCAUUAUGCAGACGUGACACCUCUCUGGCACUCACAGAGUGAUUUUUUCACUGCUAAACUUAGUCGUUCUGAAUCAGACUUUUCCAAAUUGUGUCAAUCUUAUUCGGAGGAUUUUUCAGAAAAUCAGUUUUUCACUAGAACUAAUGGAAGCUCCCUCCUGUCAUCUUCAGACCGGGAACUUUGGCAGAGGAAGCAGGAGGGCUUGUAUGACAGCCCUCAGGAUCAGUGUUUGGAUGGGGCCCCUCAGGGUAUCCAAGUGCAGAGUGAAACUGAGAACGCAGAAACCGUGGAUAGUGGAAUGAGUAAUGGUGUGGUGUGUGUAUCUGGAGACCAGAGUCAUUACAGCGAUUCUCAGCUCUCUUUACAUGAGGACCUCUCUCCAUGGAAAGAGUGGAAUCAGGUAAAGCAAGGAGCUGACUUAGGUCUAGAUUCAUCCACCCAGGAAGCUUUUGACUAUGACACAAACAGCCUCUCUGAUCGACAACUAGAUGUUUACCCUAAAGACUUAGAGGACUUGGGAAAGUGCCAUGGUGACCUUCAGGAUGACUUUGAGAGCUAUGAUUUAAUCCAAGAUGACAACUCAUCUCCGUGCCCUGGAUUGGAUAAUGAACCCCAAGGACAGUGGGUUGGUCAGUAUAAUUCUUACCAGGAACCUAAUUCUAAUGAGCUGUACCAAAACCAAAACCAGUUGUCCCUGAUGUAUCGAAGUCAUGGUGAAUUGCAGAGUGAUGAUUCAGAGGAUGCCCCACCCAAAUCUUGGCAUAGUCGAUUAAGCAUUGACCUUUCUGAUAAGGCUUUUAGCUUCCCCAAACUUGGAUCCACACUACAAAGGGCUAAAUCAGCCUUGGAAGUGGUAUGGAACAAAAGCACACAGAGUCUUAGUGGAUAUGAGGACAGUGGCUCUUCCUUAAUGGGGCGAUUUCGGACAUUAUCCCAAUCAACUGCAAAUGAAUCAAGUACCACCCUUGACUCUGAUGUCUACACAGAGCCUUAUUACUACAAAGCAGAGGAUGAGGAGGACUACAGUGAACCGGUGGCUGAUCAUGAAACAGAUUACGUUGAAGUGAUGGAACAAGUCCUUGCUAAGCUAGAAAACAGGACUAGUGUUACUGAAACAGAUGAACAAAUGCAGGAAUAUGAUCACCCUUCAUAUGAAACACCUUAUGAAACCCCACAAGAUGAAGGUUAUGAUGGGCAGGGAGAUGAUGUAAUUAGUGAAGGGGGAUUGGAACCCUUCAAUGAAACAUCAGCUGAAAUGGAAAUAAAAGAAGAUGAAAACCAAAACAUCCCUGAGCAACCAGUGGAAGUCACAAAGCCAAAGCGGAUUCGUCCCUCUUUCAAAGAAGCAGCUUUGAAAGCCUAUAAAAAGCAAAUGGCAGAAUUGGAAGAGAAGAUCCUGGCUGGAGGCUCGAAUAGUAAGUGGCAAUGAUUUGGAUGCAUCCAAAUUCUCUGCACUGCAGGCGUUUGGUGGGCCACCCCCGAGGAAUACAGAGGUUCCCAGGCGAGGUGUCGUAUUGGAGCUGUAGCAACUUGGCCUACACCACCGCCACAGCAAUGUCAGAUCUGAGCCAUGUCUGUGACCUACAUCACAGCUCACAGCAAUGCCGAAUCCUUAACCCACUCACGAGGCCAGGGAUCAAACCUGCGUCUUUAUGGAUGCUGGUCAGCUUCGUUUCUGCUGAACCAUGAUGGGAACUCCAGUGAAUACUUUUAACAUCAACCCAUUCAGAUUGGGCUGAGAUAUAUCAGUUUAAGAUGGGCUAAGAAAAGCUAAGGUGGGUAACAGGGCAGCUCACAAACUAAAGGAAGUUUGCUGAACUACACUUUAUGGGUUAUUAUAAAUAAGUCUUUGAUCUAUAUUUAAUUUCAGGGCCAUUCUACAAAUUGAAUAGUAGGAACAAAUAAGCUGAUGAAUUGGGGCACAGAGAAUGAGGUCUUGGGCUAGUGUUAGUCAUAAAGCCAUGACUUGCUGCCUAUCUGGCACCUGUGCCUUGUUUUACAGUGGUGUUAGACUUUCUGAGGCUAGUGGCUUUAUCCAGGAAAACUGAAGCUGGCCUAAAUUUAAAUAUGUAUUAAAUAUUUCAGUGAACUGUGAGAAUUAAUACUGCCAAGACCAGCUCAGCAGGUUAGGGCUGAAGAACGGGUGCUAUGAAACUUAAGGAAAAAGUUAACAUAAAACAAGACAUAGAGACAUUUAUCUUCAUUAAACGGGUGCCGUGAAACUUAAGGAAAAAGUUAACAUAAAACAAAGACAUAGAGACAUUUAUCUUAAUCAAGGUCUCAGGGACCAAGAGCACCACCUCAAAAAACCUCACUGCUUUUAUUGGGCUCUUUAGGAUUACGUCAAGUGAGGAGGGGGCUAUAGGUGGAGGAUAUAGGAUUUUAUUAUUAUUAUUAUUUUAUAAGUUCUUUUAUUAUUUUAAAAGUCACAUAGCUGGUAGAUGGUUAAGCUUUUACUAUGACCUUUAGGCAUUUAAUAAUCAUUAGCAUUUGAGGAAGCUUGGGUCAGCUAUCUAUGCAUAGCAUCUAGAGAAUCAUCACUGUGCUCUGCAAAUGGCAUGCCUAUCUAUGGCAACCCAGUGCGCCUAGGUUUGCACCUUGGUUCUCUUUGCUAAUGCAUAUUCUGCUAACAACUGCUCAUAAACCACUUGGGGCCAUGUGGUUCCUCUUUCUCUUAUUCUUAAGAGGACAUAUCAUGCUGUGCAAACAGCGUGCCAAUCUACGCAGGUCCAGUGUACCUAGACCAACGCAUUAUGUCCUCAUUCAGCUGACGUAUGAAUAACUUAUGCUUUUAGGUCUUUGUUCUUAAGCUUAAGUCAUUUACCAGCACUGCCACUGUUUUUCAAGCAGGAAGAUGGGGUAAAGUAAAGCAGGACAAGAUGGAGUUUUCAACAAGAGGCUAAGAAAAUAUUGUAGAAACAUGUCUCACGACAUGAUACUAUCACAAUUUCUCUGACAAUGAGAAUAAGCGCUUACUAUUUUCUGUAGGUUGAGAUGUUUUCCUUGUGUUUUGGUAUUUCUUUGUUUUGUUUUAUAUUAGAUACAGUAGGCCUCUGUUCAAUGUCGUUAGAAGUUUGACUUUUACAAGUACUUCCAUGUCUCUGCCAUAGAGGGAUGUGUGGGGAUUUUGCUGAAGUACAGAUUUUAUGUUGGUUAUCCAAAGUUCUCAGUUCUAUGUUUUCUAGUUAUUAGGAAAUUACAGGGGAUAGUCAUAUUGUUGUUUGUAAAUCUUUGUGUGUGUGUGUGUGUAAGACAAGUUGUUACAUAAGAACUUUUUCCAUAUAGCAGAAAAUGAUCUAUAACUCAAAGGGCGAAGGUGAGCCUGGGCAUAAGACUCAAAUAUUAGAAGAGUUGAGACUUGUCCAUUUCCCUAUUUGUAUUAGAAGAGUUGAGACUUGUCCAUUUCCCUAUUUGGUUCCACUCUAGGACUCAUCCCCUCUGAUUGCAGGAUCUGGAGACCAAAUUCCCUUGGCUUGUGCCAUUAUGAAAUCAUGAACAUUCAAAGCAAAAGGCACUCAGAGAGAUUGCCUGGGCUAGUCUUUGUUAUCAGAUAAACAUUUGAACCAUUGUGGCCUCAUUCCAGAAGAUUUCCUGGCAAGGAUAAUUCCAAACAAGAGAUGGUUCUUGGCUGUUAGUGAGAAAAGUCUCCUGGGGACGCUGGACUCAGUAAUCAUCUUUUACCUCCUUCAUGCAUCUAAUCCAAACUAGUAACCUUCUGGUUAACAUACUUUUUUAUUUUCCACUUAAUUCAUUACCUCUCUAAUCUCUUCCAGCACUGUGUUCUUAAAAAUUCUAAUCUAAAUUUAAAAUAGUUUCAUAAAUAAUCCUUUAUUCAAAUACAACUAGAUGAAGCUUGAGGGGGAAAUCUAGAGAAAACAAAUAUUGAACAAUCUGAGUCACUGUGUUGAAUUUUAACUUUUCAACCUGUUGCCUGGACAGGUAAGAGAUAAAACUUCUAGAUAAAGUUAUACUGUAUUUUAGGAUUUUGUUCUUUAUCCCGCCCCCACAAAGUAGACAGAAUAAUGACCCUGCAAAGAUGUAUACAUCCUAAUUUCUGAAACCUGUGACUAUAUUAACUUGGUGAAAGGAACUUUGUAGAUGUUAUUGAAUUCAGGAUCUUGAAAUGAGGAGAUUGGCCUGAAAUAUCUAGGUGGAACCACUGUAAUUAUAAGGGUCCUUUUAAAGGAGACAGAGAAGUUAAAGGAGAUGUGAUGAAAAGAAAGGAGGCAGAGGUCAGAGUACUAUAAAGAAAGGGCCACAAACUAAUGAAUGCAGGCAGCUUUACCUCCUAGAAAAUGGAAAAGGCAAGGAAAUAAUGGAUUCUCCCUAAAAGCCAACAUAGAAUCACAGCCCUGCUGAUACUUUGAUUUUAGGACUUCUGACUAAAACUAUAAAAUAAUACAUUUGUGUUACUUUAAGCCACUAAAUUUAUGGCACUUUGUCAUAACAGCAUAUAGGAAACUGGCACCCUCUCCUUCCAUUAUUUUUUUUUAAUGGGUCUAAAUUAUCCUUAAACUUUACCACCAGAGCACUUUGCAUCUUCUGGAGCAUCUACUGUUUUCUUUUCAGUCUCCUGUCUUCUAUGCAGGAUGUUUUAUUUUAUAAAACCUGAGCCUCUUGUUACUAUCAUUGCUUAGGAUUGAGGUUGCUUCUAUCAGCAAUCUAGCAGAAUCUAUUUAUCCAGUAUCAGCUAGGAGCGCUGUGCUAGAUGUUGUUUGAAUGUAUCCUCUUUUCAGAGAGGUUCCUAUCUCUUUUGUAAUCAUGAGUUGAGAGGAAUAAACUUGAGGAGUGAAGUUACUUGCAACUUGAACAAUCAGUUAUUAUCUUGUUCAUUAGCUAGCAUAGAAAAAGAAUUUCCUAGCUGGAGAAUUAUGUUCUUAAGUGUAAAUUAUAAACCCAGUUUGUUUUGGAAGUCGCUACUCAUGAAGUUAUUUGCUUCCUUAAAAUGUCAAGCGGACAGUGUUAAAGCUGAAAAUGAGAGAAUCAUGGGACCCACAGAUCCUAAAUGGGAACAGGUAUUACAAGUGGAAGCAGCCUUUGUUAAGUCAAUUCAACAGGGUUUCCAGAGCCAUCACUGUCCUGAGGGGCCAAUUUCACCAAUGAUUAUGUUGGGUCUGUGCGUUGUCAGAUUUGAAGUACAGUGUCAAUUGCUCUAGAUUGUUGUAUACUCCUUGGAUUUGGUUUUUCUUAGCAACCAAACCAGUUGACAUUGAAGGACUAGAAAUAGUGAGAAAUCUAUGGUUUUUAAGCAGAAAAAAAAAAAAAA
rnacentral:lncRNA from 1 species